rnacentral:rRNA from 1 species
AGGAAGGUAGUGUAGUUAACACCUGCAUUAUUUGACGUUACCUACAGAAGAAGCACCGGCUAACUCCGUGCCAGCAGCCGCGGUAAUACGGAGGGUGCGAGCGUUAAUCGGAAUUACUGGGCGUAAAGCGCAUGCAGGCGGCCUGUUAAGUCAGAUGUGAAAGCCCGGGCGUUAACCUCGGAAUUGCAUUUGAAACUAGGCAGGCUAGAGUCUUGUAGAGGGGGUAGGAAUUUCAGGUGUAGCGGUGAAAUAGCGUAGAGAUCUGAAGGAAUACCAGUGGCGAAGGCGGCCCCUCGGACAAAGACUGACGCUCAGAUGCGAAAGCGUGGGGAGCAAACAGGAUUAGAUACCCUGGUAG